GCAGUCAGUUGGUUGGCGGGCCGGUGUUGUAAGUUGGCAUACUUCUGAUAUAGCUCACACCUCCGAACCAAGUCAGCUGCAUCUUUUUUCAUGGUGGGCCAGUAGUAACCUUGCCGCAAAAUUUUGUAGGCCAAGGAUUUGCCCCCCAGGUGACUCCCGCAGAUCCCUUCAUGCACCUCUCUGAGUGCGUACUCUGCAUCCGUCGGUCCCAACCACCGUAGC
rnacentral:lncRNA from 1 species